AUGGACGACAUCGCCGAGCCCGGCUCCCCGACCUCCCCGACGGCCACCUCCUCCUCGUCUUCCUCGUCGUCCUCCUCCUCCGUCGCCGCGAACAAGCGGCCGCGCAAGGACAGCCGGCACCCGACCUACCACGGCGUGCGCAUGCGGAGCUGGGGCAAGUGGGUGUCCGAGAUCAGGGAGCCUCGCAAGAAGUCGCGCAUCUGGCUCGGCACCUUCGCCACCGCCGAGAUGGCCGCGCGCGCGCACGACGUGGCCACGCUCGCCAUCAAGGGCCGCGCCGCGCACCUCAACUUCCCGGACCUCGCGCACCUGCUGCCCCGCCCGGCCAGCGCCGCGCCCAAGGACGUCCAGGCGGCCGCCAUACUCGCCGCCUCCGCCGACUUCCCCUGCGGCGCCAGUGCCAAUGCCAAGAGCCCCGACAGCGCCUCCGACGCCAGCGCGGUCUCGCCGCCGCCCCCGCCUGCACCGCACGCCGAGCCGGUCCAAGACCCGGAAGACGCCCUGUUCGACCUCCCCGACCUGCUCCUGGACCUGAGAUAUGAGGCCUCGGCGGGCCUCCCGUGCGCGUCGUCCUGGGUCGUCGACGAGGACAUCGUCGGCGCCGGCGUGUUCCGCCUCGAGGAGCCACUCCUGUGGGAGUACUGA
rnacentral:rRNA from 1 species